rnacentral:lncRNA from 1 species
CUGCUCAAGAUGGAGCCUCUCUUGAGUUAUCAGAUUUCUUUACAGAUCUUGAUCCUCUUGUGUAAAUUGCCAAAUGAGCAUCUCUUUUGGUUAUUUUGUACUCACUAUGUACACUUUGUAUAUAUCUCUCUCGGAUGAUGUAGUACCCGAGAUUGAGCUAGUUUGUCUUUUGAUGUAUCCAUGUACAUAUCUCCCUUGGAAGUUAUGUUCCCGAGGUCGAGCUGAUAUUUUGACUAUGUAUAAAAUUAUGAGUUUGUUAUUAUAUCAUUUGCAAACUAUACUACGGUUCAAUAUUAAUUUUAUGUUAUUUAAUUCAGGCAAACAUGGAGAACAUCGACAAAAGAGAAAAUUGCCUACUCGAUAGUGCAACUACACACUCAAUAUUCAAUAACAAAAUAUAUUUCUCGAGUGUGACUUUGUGCAAGGCACAAGUUAAAAC